rnacentral:lncRNA from 1 species
GCCGUGACGAGUCCGGCUGCGCUUGCAGCGAGGUCGUGGCUUCGGCGAGGAGGCGUCAGGCAAGGGGGAAACGGGGCUGCCUGGUUAAUAUACAUAAUGUAUAUGCAAAUACAUAUGCAAAUAUAUGUGUGUAUGUAUAUUUAUAUAUAUGUAUGUAUAUGUAUAUACGUAUAUGCAUAUAUAUAUAUAUAUAUAUAUAUAUGCAUAUGUAUGUAUGUAUAUGCAUACUGUAUAUAUAUAUGUGUGUGUGUGUCUCUCUCUCGUUUUAUAUUUCGUAUUGCGUCCAUGCGGUUUAAGUAAAGGGGAUGCUGGAGACAGAAGAGGCGAGGGAGUUGUGGGCUGUUCGAUUGGAUGACUAUGGAAAAAAGAGGAGGCCAUGCCAGCGCGGGCGCGGAUGAGGAGAUCAAGGGCAGGAAAUGCAACCUAAGAAUCAUCGAUAGCAUAUGGAGGAACUGAGGAAAAAGUGAAAAAGUUCAUAAUGGGGUGGGGUGGGGGACGCUGGUAUGGAGUUGCCAUGGGAAACUGACAGGUAUCCAUAUGUACAGCCUGAGCCCCCGCCCCUCAUCUCUCCAGUUGCAACGAAGCAUGCACAGGGUCACACCCUGGCCCAGGCAGAGAAUGGGUCUUAUUUGACUGGAGGAGGAGAGAGAAAAUCGUCUGAGAAGGAUGCGCUUUUCCUAGAAGGGGAAAACCCAAAAGGGCCACAUUCUAGAGGCAGGCUUUUUCUUGGGAAAAUAGGGAUUACAUUGCCUUUUAAAAAGCAGCAAUAAAAAGAGCAUUUAUCUAAAUUACAAGCUGGACAGAAAAUACCUCUUGCUGGUUGCUAAGUAGUUGUUGGGAGACUACAGCUUGGGUUUCCAGCCGGUGUUACCUCAGGACAAUAAGCCUGGUUUAUAGAAAACUUGCUCAACAUGUCUCCAAGGUAUUCUAAGGUCAUACCCCUCCACCUUUCUCUAAUGCUGUAGGAAACCCUGCUGUAUCAUAUUGUGUGUGUGUGUGUUUAGCUUGUAUAUAGCAUCAGGCAGGCCAGUGGAAAGGGCAUAUUUUAAUGAAUGUAUUUAUGUAAAAGUUUCCAGGGCUUUUUGCUACCAGUUUUAACAUGCUCCAUAGUAGCAAUCUCGGAUAAAAAAAUUAAAUAAAAUUGGUAUGGAUACCAAAAACACCUUUAAUAAAUAUGGCACAGGUCAGUAAAGGAUCAUUUUAGUCUCUUCCUGCUAUAAACUGUAAGUUUGGCACUUAGUUGGCCUCUUGCUUUCUUUAUCAUGGUCUAAUUCAUCUUGCAGGUCCAUUUAUAGGGCUUGUUCCAAACAAAUCAAUCCUAUGCAUGUCCACUCAGAACUUCCUUAGGGAAGGAAUAUCACAGCUUCAGCAUCACCACAAGGAAGGCCCUGUCUCACAUUACCACCAGCCACACUUUAAACAGUGGGUACACACUAAGCCAGGUCUCCAAUUAAGAUUUCACCAUGUGAUUAGUUUCAUAGGGUGUUCUUUAAGGUAUCCUGCGUCUCUAGACCAUUUAGGACUUAAAGCAUGGGUAGGCAAACUAAGGCCCGGGGGCCGGAUCUGGCCCAAUCGCCUUCUAAAUCCAGCCCGCGGACGGCCCGGGAAUCAACAUGUUUUUACAUGAGUAGAAUAUGUCCUUUUUUUAAAAUGAAAUCUGCCAAAAUCUAUACGUCCAGAUUUUUCUGGCAACUGAAUCCCCGUUUCUGACAACCGAAUCCCAGCCAUGUUCGGGGAAUUCUGGACAUAUGGCAACCCUUGUUGUAUGCUUUAUUUGCCCCGCAGCAGUCAAUUCCCCAGCAGACACAUUUUUUACCUGUUGCAGUUUCCAGGCUAUUCACAAGCAGCCCUAAAGAGAGAGAGCAUUCCAAUACGCCGGUCUAGAAAUGAUUAAGGUAUUAAUUGCUACAGAAAACUGUUAAGGAGCAUUCUAAGCUGUAAGUUAUAUGAGGGACUACCUUUGAAGACUGCUCUCAAACUGCAAUUAGCUUCAGGGGCUAGUCAUAGAGAAGACAUUUCAGUGAUGCUUAAAGAGCUACACUAACUCGCAGGCCAAUUUCAGACACAAUUCCGCGCACCGAGGCUUGCUUUAAAAGCUGUCCGCAACCUUGGAAAGGGAUACCUAUUUCCAAAUUAAAUACCUUCAGAAGUCCCCCUCCAAGUAUCCCAUCAUCAGACAGCGACUGGGCCUUCUUGUUUGGGACACCCGAGUUUCCCCUGGAGAAUGUAGGCCUGGCACCUUCAUUUGUCUUCUUAAAAGGCUUCUUAACUUUAUUUCCCCCAGGCCUACUAAUUUUACGAGAUUUUUAUGCUACCAUUUUAACAUUUGAUUGCUUUUGGAUUAAGCUGGCGACAUUGUCAAAUGCAUCUUACUGUUGUCUUUAAUAAAAAGCUGUGAUUUAAUUGAAAUCUAUUUGAGCUAGGUCAGUGGAAUAGUAAAGUGCUUUUAACAUGUAAGAAGGUUAAAUUUGUCCACGAUGCAUGGAAAAAAAUUGGUGUAUUUAUACCCUCUUGAUCCCAGCUUUAUACUUUAGAAGAGGCAGGCACUAGCACUCUGUUUCAGGAAUGAUCUGAUCAGUAUUCCACACUCCUCUCUUCCUAAUAAGCAGACUUGGAAAAACACGUUUCUCUUGUGAUCAGUCAUCCAUAUGAAGACUUUAAUAAAACAAACAAUUUAAGUAAAAAGCCUGAUACAUUCAUGCAGCACUCUCCAUAAGCCAAUUAGAGAGACUAAUUGUGGUAGGCCUCAAAAGUGAGUUAGCAAGUUUAUUCUAAUGAACAAAGUAUAGAGGAGGAAUAGAACAUGUACUUGCUGCUGGGAAGGCGAUCCAUUCAUGUGGUCUUGAAAGGAUGCAAAUAGUCUUGUCUGAAAGAUAACUUAUUUGUUCCUCUAUUGGACAGCAAAAGGCAUUGCGCAAGUUGGCUGGCAUCCCAUUUGAAAGGUGCUGAGUCAAUUGACUUCCUGGUAUGUUGUGUCUGCUGCGGCAAGCUUUAAACAGUGCCCCUGAAAAUACCUGUUUUCUUGUGUAUUCUUCCCAUCUUUUAGCCAGAUAACAUAGUUAGUAAAUUCAUGUGGUAGAGUCCUUCCUAGUUUAUACAGUGCCAAGUGGGGAAGUAUGGUGUGUGUGUGUGUUUUCGUUAACUCCAAUUAAAAAUCAACAGCAACAACUUCCUUGCAUGUGGAAAACUAACACAUCAAGUAAAAAAACCUUCUAACUUUUCCUUCAUGAUUUUUGUUAUUUAUGUGCAAGAAGCUUCCAUCAAAAUAUUCAUAAAUGCUAUACUGCAUCUGCUGCCUAGUUUAGGAAUGCCUUUACUAGGUGAUUUUGCUUGUUGUGUAAAUUAUCCUCCCCACCUUCAUACUAUUUCUGCUACCUCUUCCACAUUUAUUCUUAACUUAUUUUAAUUUUGCACUAGAGGGUGUGCAGAAGAAGGGCAUGUAUAUUGCAGGGAGAAGGCUGUCCAUAGAGUUUUCCGUUCAUAGGGGUUGGUACCCAUAACCUGCCAGGGCUGGUGUGCAGGUUUUGCCUACACCAUAAAAUGACAAAGAGCCUAUCUCACCAGCAAGGCCACUAUUUUCAAUUUGCACAGGACACUUGAAAUGGCUGGAAGCAACAUGUGAGAAUUCUGGGUUCACAUGCCUCAUGCCUUGCAGUUUAAGGAGUCCCACGGAGAGUGCCCUGAGGAACCAAAGCAGAUGGAGGAAUGAUGGGAGGAGGAGUGAUGAGACCUUCUGAAAGUUGUCAGACCUCUGGCAAGAAGGAUCUUUACCUUCUCCCAGCAGUCCACUGGGUGAGGAAAGAAAGGGAGAAGUUGGGGAAAAGAGAUAGACCAGACCACUUCUGUAUUUGACCCCUCCAUGCCCCUGCCCACAUGCACCCCCUGACAGAUUACUGUCAAUGGACUGCAGCACCAUAGCAGAAAAAAAUGUUACCCCUCAUUGGUGAAGACAGGAUCACAGGUGUGGAUCACAGGUAUGACUCAGUGUAAGGCAACUUGAUAUAUUUACUGUGCCUACUGAAUCCAGCACUUUCUAGGUGUCAACAAAAAUGUGCACAGAUUGUUCUGUUUCUCAUAACAAAUUAAAUUGUGAAGCACGGCAAGCAUAAGUGAUUCAUGCGACAAAUGUGUAGAUAAAAAAAAUAUAUUUAAAUUAUACCAGGCUUUAUCAUUACUGAUUUAACACCGGGUGGGGUGGGGUGGAUUGUGAUACAAGUUCUUUUAAGGUUGCAACCCUAAAUCCACUUACCUGGGAGUAAGUCCCAUUCACUUCAACAGGACUUACUUCUGAGUAGACAUGGUUGGGAUUGCUCUGCUAAGCUUCCAAUGUAUUUUAUUUUCAAUCAUUUCUUUCCUUGCCUCACAAAGUCAUGCAUGCAUCCCCAAGUAUAACUCUUCGGUUGUAGCUAAUAUUCUGCAACUUGCAGGUGCAGCUAUGUCACUUCCAGAGCAAAGACUGGGUUGCAAGGGAGAAACAACCCUAAGCGUGAGGUGUUUUGGAAGUAGAUCCUACUAGUUUCAGCCUAAAACGAUAUGACAGCAAACUUCAUUAAUUUAUUAAUAUUGUAUUUUUACUUCUCAAGAGGCAGGAAGCAUUGCUGGGAUUUCCUGCCUCAGGUAACAGGAGAGCGUGAGUGGUCUUUGGUAGUAAGUACUGUAGCCAGUAACCGAUUGCAUGAUAAGCAGUGCUUACCUAACCUCCAAACACUUUAGUCACUGCUGCUCACAGGGUGGGGAGAGGCAAGGUGGUGAGGUCAGUGCGGUACAAAUACACCAGGUACAAAUACACCAGUGGAGUCAAUCUGGCACUCUUGCUAGUAAGUUCGCACUGUGAUAACCCUCCCUCUGCCGUCCCUGCUCCCUCUUGGGAGCUGUUGGGAGGUCAGCAUCUGCUGUUCCACCUUCUGCAGUAAAAUAUCCAAUGCUAACCCUGUUUUACUCAGAAGUAAAUCCCACUGAACACAGUGAGACUUACUCCCAGGCCUAAAUGUUUUACAUAGGAUUUACUUUAGAGUAAGCUCUAUUUAAACAAAUAGAGAAAAUAGGUACCUGAUAUGGUGCUUUGACCACCAUGUCAGUGCAGUGUCAACAUUAUGAACAGGCUUCUAGGAUUGUGACCUUCAGUACAGCUACUCAUAUAACUCUCUGAAUAAAUAAUAUCUGCUCAGUCCGUGUGCCACUGUAUUUUCAUUGGCUGUUGCCAACACCUUUGGUGUUCUUGUUUAACCAAAAGAUAGGCCAAAGGUGUGUGGCAAGUAUCUUUUUAUUCUAGCUGUUGCAGUUCCAAGGCCAUCGCUCCAGCUGACAAGACCAAAUUUAGAAAAGAAUUAUUUUUUUAACCUCAUCUCUUUCUCUGGAAAAAGGGACAAAGAGCAAGAUUUCAUUGUCCUGUUAUUUGUCUUCCUUUUGCCGCAGCUUCCUAGACCUCAAAGGUUGAAUUUUACAGCUGACUGGGUUGUUAUAAACUCUAAAGUCAUGUAAAGAAAUGGAAUGUGCACCAACUGUAAGCUAUUAACAUGCUUAUCUGUUGACAAAUAAUUAUGUUUUACUUUUGUCUCACCUGCUAAUCUUUACUCUCACUUAGGUUUAAAGGUGAAAGAUCACAAGCUCAAGAGAUUCAGUUUCAGUUUCAAGAUUGAUAAAAUCUUUUCUCUUGUGCUAUUGACCCAAUUGCACAAUUCCACUAAAACCUAUCCACCAGAUGUUUUUUAAAGAUGCAUGGCCAAGAAAUGUAAACGAGCAACGCUACAGCCUUGGGAUACAUAGAUGUCAUCUCGACCAAGAUACAGUACAUUUCUGCAGUGCUGUAGAUUAUGUGAACUACAUGAGUGGGGCUCUGAAGUAUCUUAAGCAGAAUCUGCUGACUGGUAAAUGGAACUAACAUCAUUAUCCUGAGUGCAUUAUUUGACCCAUAGAUUUCAGUGCUCAGCAUGGCAAUCUUUCUCAGUUCACAUUUGUGAGUAUAGGAUUCCUAAAUGUAAGGAUAGCCAUAAACCACAUCAUAUGUUUAAUUUCAGCAAGCACAACUGAUUACUCUAAAAAGCCCUAAAGUUUUUUCUUUGGUCUACAAUGUUUUCAGAGCUGUUGUGUAGGGAGUGCUCCAUACCUCUGCCCUCCUGCCCGUCCCUCGCUCGCUCGAAUGUCAGUUUUGUUCCUGGGGAAGGUUCUGAGAGUCCCUCUGAUUGCUGAGAGUCCCUUUCCCUUGCUGCUCUACAAGCAGGCAACAACAUUAUUUGGGGGGAGUGGGGGAGAAACUAGAUAAAAAGAAACAACCACCAUCAAUUUCCAAGACCAACAAGGAGAGUGCCAAGAGGUCCACAGCAACUCUGAGCACUAGGAGCCACCAACCCAUUGAUCCCCAGCUCAACUUAAUGGUUACUGGAGGCAGGCAGGGUAUGUGUGCACACGCAAGGGUGCAUUCCCCCUCCCCCCCGGGAAGGUGGGUGGGCUGGAUGGGAUCUGCCAAGAGAGCCACUUCCCAGCCUCUCUCAACAGCACUCUCCCCACUUUAUGCAAUUUCACAUAUAUGUACAGAGUUUGGGAACGUAACCCCAGCUUAAGUGCAGGAGAUGGGGACGCAGGUAUUACAACAUUCAGACUGAUAACAUUUGGCCUCUAUGCUUUUGCUUUGGUGCAAACCAACCUUAGCAUUGUAUUGCCGCUUGCAUUUAUUAAAAAACUGCAUUAAAAUGCUUUUUACUUUUAAAUGUUACUAUGUAUUAAAACUUCACUUCACAAACC